AUGUAAAGUUGCCCUCUUUAUUUCUGAUGUUCUAUUGAUCUUGCUUCUGUAGGCAUACGUUUUGGUAACUGUGCUGCGUUCACGCGUACUUUCAUGAAUUGCAACAUAAUACUGGAGCUGAUUAAUAAAUGGUAGCAAUAGGACUCCUGUGGCAUCAGGAUUUUAAGUGUCUAUCAAACCGACGUUCUCACUACAUUAUGCCACUAUUAUAUUCUCUGCAGCUUUAAAAGAACUGUAGAUAAUUCUUCAAGAUAUCAAAACAUUUAGCUUAUAGUUCUAUUGCUGUGGUUGUCACCUUCACUUUAUAUCAAAUUUGAGACUCAUUUCUUAAGGAUGUCUCUAUUUUCUGCUUUAUUUGCACGUUGAUAGCUCUACUGAAUGACUAGUCACAGCAACUUUUUCCUCCUAUUGAAGCAUACUAAAAUGCGAAAGCCUAAGACUAAUCUGCUUCACAGGACUUUUCAGCUCUUUGGUUAAAGGGAAAUAAGAAGUUUGCUUCAAGACUCUUGUUUAUGUAGUUUCCUCAGUUUGGUUAACAAAUGUGGGGCUUGAGGAUACAUUUACUGCUUCUCUGCAUUUUUACUGAAGGUGUGUGCAUUGGAAGGUAUGCAUAAGUUCUUGAUAUCAGGUGUUUGUCUGCUUUGCAGCUGCCGGUGAAAAGAUAUGAGUGCAUGUUGAUAUUAAAAUUCUGUACUUUAUUGUUUUCACAAUUUCUAGGAAGCUAAACCAUUAAUUUAAUGGAAGAAACAUUUACUAUUCAGUUCUUAUUUAAUGAUGGGUAGGACUUACAGGCUGGCUCUGCGCUCAUCGCUUUAUUUAAAUUAAGGCUUGUGAAUUUAAAUUCAGCUUGUAGAAAUAAAUAAUUAAAGUAACUGUUUUUAUAGCCUUCAGUCUGAUGGGCUGGUCCUGCAAAGCUAUUUAUAAUGGUCUUUGCUUACUUAAGUAGUCAGACUCCAGCAGGGUUUUUGACAUGAGGGGAACUUGGAUUUGAGAUGACUGCACAAAAUGUGGUGACCCAAAAUGUAGCAAUAUUUGUACUUGCAUAUUUAUUUUUCUACACUGGUUUCAUUUGCAUAAUUUCAUUUAGGGUGUGCAAACAUAUGUGGUACAGCAUAAAAAUAACUUAAUAAAUUAGUGCAUGAACUAAUAUAAUGGGGUUCAGCUGUGAAUAUUUUAUUUCCAGGAGGGGCAAGAAGAGGCAGGGUGAUCUUGAAAGUAAUAGCAAGCUGUAUUGUAAAAGUGCAGCUGUUGGUAAGCUCUAACUAUAAGUGGUUUGGCUGCAGGUAGCUUGUAGUGGAUAGAGUUAAACUUGGGUGUCUUGUAUAUGAUACACAUUAAUUUAAUUACUUUAAUAGCUACUUUCUGUUGAAACUUUAAAAUCUAACGAUCCUGCUUUUAUUGCAGUCUUUAAAGAUCUAAUCGUUCUUGUGUGUGUCUGAGAUGUAAAACUUAGUGCAAGAAGAGGCAACAGAUUGGUUCCGUCAUACGAUUUUGUUGGGUUUUUUUUGAGGGUACUUAAAAGAUUAUGAUGGAUAAUGCUGUCUUGUCAAAGAAUGCCGACACAGGUGUUCAUCAUUAUCUUAAUUAAGAUCCUGAGAAAAUGUCAUCUUUCUACAUGAAUUAUGAAGGGAGAUGCAUUAGGAGAUCAUUUCAACUUUUUUUUUUUCUUUUUACAGGGGUAGAUGAGAAGGAGGCUGUUUUCUCAAAACCUUUUUGAUAUUUCCUUAUCAAAAUGCCCAACCGUAGACACUCGCUGAAUAAUUUGUUUCUCUACUUCAAUUUGCGAAUAUAUUACCAAGAGAUCUGUAUGUGAUGUUAAAGGGAAUCCUUCAACAACAAAAAAAAUCCCCCUUCCAGAUACUCUCUUCUGCUUAAAGCUGACCCUAUAAACAAAAUACUAGGACUCGGAUGGUAGUGGACAUUGCUGCUGGACACAUCUGCUAAGAGGUGUUUUAUACAGUGUUUAUUUAAAAGUAUUUUGCUCUGUUAUUAGCAUGAGUUGCUAAUACAUGUAUGUGAAUAUUUAUAAUUUUAAGCAUGAAGAUAAAAAAAUUUCUCACCUUUGCACUACCAUGGAAGUGAAACUAACCAGUGUACAAAGAGGAAGGAGGGGCUUGUGUUUUUCUGUGUUAAAUCAAUACAUUAUUAGCUGAACAAGAGCUAAAACAGUGCAUCUAAAAGAUUGGCUGAAGCAUCAGCAGUAAAACUUAGGGGCUCCUUCGUGCAGAUCCUUGUGUCUGUGUUGCUGCUGGCUUCCCUCGGAUGAAGUGCUGGGAGUUACAAGGUCAGUUCGUGCAGUGGAAGUGCUGGUGUUUGGUGGCUCUUAGCCUAGGGAGGACCUUACCUCUCCCGGCUUCUGUAGGCAUGAGGUUCCAUAAAAAUGCCUCUUGGGAAGAGGACAGCUCUGUCAAGCCUAGGUUUCAAAAGGUAUUUUUAAGUUCUCCAUUUGUCUGUUUUUUGCCUUUAUAUAAUGCACCCAAGAGCAGAAGCAGUGAGGUCCAUGAUGGGGAAAAUUAAUCCAGUAGUCCCAUCUUAUCCUGUACUCACCUAAACACAGGAAGAGAGCUCACACAAAGCCAGAAUGUGUCUGGGCUUGCAGCUCUUUUUAACCAUAUUAAGUUCUAUUCGGAGCUGAUGAGGAGCUCAGUGAGACUGGUCCAAGCAAUGCUGAAGAAAGGAAGAACAGAGUUGGAAGGCAGGAGCUAUUUCAGAGUGGGAUUCUUCUUUCUGUACACCCAAAUAUGAAGACUUUAUAAGCAUCAUUAGGUCCUGCCAUCAAUGACUGAGCAUCCCUGAAAUCUUCUUAUCAGUUACUGUCGAGAUGAGAAGGAUAACAGGAAGGAGGAGUGCUUAAGUGGUUUUAAUGACAGUUAAUUUCAUCUAUUUAUCAAAUGACAGGUUUUUUCUUUCUCAAAACUCUAGUGUCAUGACAAGAUGCUUUUGGAAGUCAUCUUUGUAAAAUAAAACUGACAAUUCUUAGGCUACAAAGAGCUAUUGUAUCUUUCUAUACAAUGUUGUCAUUCUGGUAAACCGCUGGAAAGUCUUUAUUUUUGAAAUAACUUAACUUGCAUGCUUCAUUCAUUUAUUUGAAUGUCUGUUGAAUGCCAUGUGAAAAGUUUCUUGCCAGAGUUCUCUUAUUCAAUGGAAUAGUUAUUCUUACAAUGCUCAGUUUAUUAUUGUCUGAAUUGCUGUUGCCUUAGCCUCCUGCAAAGAUGUUUCUUUUUACUAAUUCUUAAACAAAUAAGGAAUGAAUGAGGUUUUGUUCCUUUCGUGUUUUGAUCGGCAUAUCGUUCCUUUUGGAACUGAAAGCACCUUCAGUUUUCAGAAUGACACUAUUACAAAGAAAGGUGCUUUGCUUUUUUCUUUUUUUUUUUCCCUCCCAACAGAAAAUGUCUUUUGUGCAAUGAUUUUUUUAAUAUGUACACUGUCAAGACACAAUUACUGGAAGGAGAGACAGAAGCUGUUGGGAAUGUCAUGUUAUGCCAAAUUAAGAAUUAUUAGCUCUUACUUUCUCUGCAAUCUCUUCAAUUAGAACUUGACCUAUUGCGUCUGGCUUAUACUUUGACUUUAGUGGAACUAAUGUGUCCUUGGAGUAGAAUUUUAGAGUAACUUAAGAUUCAUGGUUUUUUUUUGUGUGUGCCCCCCCAUCUCUGCUUUAAACUGCUGGCAUUAACUUCAGAGAAGGCAAGAGAUACAGCCUCCUUUGUCAGCAGCUGUGCUAGUUAAAGAAGGCAGCUUCAUGUACGCUUGCUUGCACACUCACUCGUGGAGGUUAUUGUCCUGAUAGGGAAGCAAACUGAGCAGUUUCCCUGAGCACAGCCAGACUUAUUUCAGCUAAAGUUAGUUGUGUUAUCAAAUAUUAGUUAACUAGCAUCCUGGGUCAUUUUGAUGAAAGGGCAGGGAAUGCACAGACGGUGUAUCGGGGAAGGUGGUGCAUUGACAGGAGGGUUGUUGAGGAGCUGCUGGUGGGGUAGUGUUUUCAGCAGGUGCAGUUACAUCUCUAAGAUGUGGUAAAAAUUAGAUGUGUUAGAAAGCUGUGCAGUUCUGUCAUGUAUAAUAUUCACAUUUUGGGGACAUACUGAAUAAUAUAAAAUAAAACUGGGCUCUUUGAUUUAUUCCUUUUGUGUGUCAGUGUGAGUGGAGAGACAUGAUGUGAGUUUGUGUAGGUGAUAGGACACCUGUUUCAGAAAAAUGUAUCUGGUCAAGGUGUGUGAAUGGUACAAAUGAGUUGUGCUUUACUCAUCAAAGACAGUGCCUCAACCACCACAUGCCUCUGGAGAACUGUUUUUGAUACAUGGUGCCCUAAGCUGCCUUUAGCGAAGAGGGCAGAACACCUCCAGCAGAAGAGGCUGCCCCAUCCAUUGCUGCUUCUCUGGCCAAUGUUGCCUCAGUCGAUGCUGGAGUCCAAUGAGGCAUCCAAGCUCUUGAUGUUCCCCGUGCCAAAAUCAGAAUGGUGUGGAUGAUGUCUAGCACUGGAAGGCAUAAUGAGUAAAACCAGUGCACUAAACAGCUCCUUCAACGCUGACCCUUCUUGAGAGAAGGCUGUGGAGUGUAGGUGCUGUCCCACAGAUGGCUUGGGCGCACAAAGAACAAGAGGCUUUCUGAUCUGUCAGACACCUGAGAGCAGCAACUCGGUUUGUGUCCCCUCUUGGGGCACUGCUAGAUGAAAGGAACUUGGUUCAGUCACAGAAAGGACUGAACCUCCAGCUCAGCUGGUGUUGCAUCCAAUAUCUCUUAACUGUUCCUAACCUAAAGAAAGAGGAAGUAUGCACUGGCCUCUUAUGUCGCAUGUGUAAGGGAGGAAAUUAAUGUACUACGUCUGGAAAGGAACUGGUGUGUAAGGGGAAGGAGCUGCUUUGCAGGCAAAGAACCGCCGGCCCUGGCUGUUUUAUCCUCAGAAGCACUACUGUAUCACAGUGCAUUCAGACUGGAGCCUGCAUCUGCUGUUCCCUGAACUGUGGAUCUGAAAAAUAGUGAUGUGAAGAGAUGAGGCAUGGCAUGUCUUAGGGUGGAGGCCUAUAAAGAGAUUUGGGAAUGUGCACCAACUUAGAAGUGGCUAAUAUUUUAAAAUUAUAUAUAAAAAAGAAGUAGAUGUGAUAUGACAGAGGGUGAAGCCUAUUGCUUUUCUGCCAAGUUAUGAGUUAACUUGGCCAUGUACUGCUGUAUGUUGAGAAAAUUUUGGACUCUUCAGUUAAGCUCUUUCUUAGCCGUUAGUCUGUGCUUGCAGUGUAGUGGUUGGUGCGUGCAUAGUUCAAGGAGGCAAAGCGCCAGCCUCAUAGUUUCCAAAAUCCUCAACUUGCCCCUGAUCCGAUCUCUGCAGCUCUGUGGUGAAGGUGGGUGCGUCUCUAGCUGUGAGAACUGUGCCAUCAGCCCGGGGUCAAGCCGCAGCUGAGCUCUUGGCAUCUGUGCUGAGUUCAGAAGUGAUGUACCUCCUCCAAAGGAGGUCUUACAGAUGUCUCCCCUGACCACGAACUAAGGGGAAAUGAGCCUCCACAGCUCUUUGAGACAGCCCAUAAUUCAUAUAAUUCUUUUCUCUUAAUAUGGACUAUUGUAGUACCAAAGUUAAAAUAUUUAAUGAAAUGCUUGUGAUUGCCUAAUAGUCUUUCCCCCUACUUAAGUGGUAAUACGUAGUUAAACCAGUAUUGCAAAAUAACAUCUUAUGUAGAGCACUGCCGUGGAUGUAUUAUGCCGAUGAGUAAAAUUUUACGUCCAAACACUUAAAAUGAUCAAAUACUAUAGUUAAGACUGUCAUACUAUUUAUGCAGCGCUAAAAAGAAAACAAAAUACAAUACAGAUUUUUUUUUCCUAUAAAUACUCUAAAUAAUAGGUUGGUUUCAACUAGACUUCCUGGCUCUUUGGUGAUUGCUGCACUCGGUAUGAAUCUACCAGGAUCCUGCACAUAAUCAUGUGUUUAUUACUAUAUACACAUAAUUUCUAUGUUCUCCACAAAUAUGUUGGACAAAACAUAGUUUACCUUUUUAUAUGGUACUAUAUGGUUACUUUCUAACUCCUUUAACUUCAGUUCAAACUUGGUUGAAUAAAAUGUGCAUUCCUGAAAAUAAUCAUUGCAUCUGUAAUGGGAUAGUUGAUUUCAUAUGGCUGUUUUCAUACUCCAGACAUAACAAAACAUUUUCAAGGCAAUACGUGUUGACAAUAGACAGCGAUAAAAAUCAGUUAAUGACAAAUUCUAAGGUGCAAACUUUUAAUAAGAGCAAUGAAUCAUUAGGAAUGAUUAGAAAGGGAAUAGUAGAUCUUCUAUCUUUUGAAUGAAGAUGAAAUGUUUUUAUAGAGGUAUAUGCUUGAACAACUGGCUGGGUGGGGUAGAGAAAUUCUUCACAGGCUUCUGUGGCUUUUGCUACAUCUGGGGUCAGACUGGGUCAUCUUUUGCCUUGGAAAGGAGGAAGGCAUCUCGGUGUAACAAAUAUCUUCACAGCAUAGCAGCUUCCACUGAAAAGUUACUCAAAGUUGCUUACGGUUCUUUUUAAAAAAGGAUCGGGGAGGAGGGGCAUUGGUUAACAACUAGUUUGGCAAGGUUCCUGGCUUGUAAUGCUGUGCCUUUUUCAAAGAAACUCCUUCACCUGACUGCUUGGUUCCGCAGAGUGUUAUGUUUCAUUGGCUUUAGGUGAGGUGGGUUUCUUUCAUUCAUCCAUCCUCCCCUCCUUCCCACCCCCCCGCCCCAAAUAAUCAAACACCACAUCAACUUUUUUAUUUCAGAGCAAAUGUCUUCUACAAAGUGUAAUUUUGCCUUGCUGCUAGAAAUAAUUUUUAGGUUUAAAAUAAUCUGACAGCAUCCUGCUCUGUAUAAAUUAGGUUUGUUCUCUACUAAGGUUAGUUAGCUGGCACCCAUUUGCUAGCAUGUUACAAAAAAAAAACCACCCAAAACCAGUUGCAAGUUGAUCGCAUCUGGUUAUCUGCCUUUUCUCUUUUUAAUGGGCUUUUUGUUGCUGUGCUGUCACCAAAGCUGAAGUACAUGUGUGCAAGUUGUACGUCUCCAGGUUCUCUACAGCCCGGGGAGAUGACGUUGGCUUUCCUGUACCAUGGAAAGACUUGGGGGCAUAAGCGUUUGGAGAAGUGGUGAGGUUGUCUGCACCUAGAUUUCUGAAUCUUAUGCACUUUUGGUUUUGGCUAACGGUGAUAUUUUCUGCUCUAUGGCAAGCAAUAUGUUACCACUGAAGUCCAAAAUGCCAGGUAUAAUUAGCUCAUGUGUUUAAAUAGGUGUUAUUUUGUAACUUGUAUGUACUAGCCUGUUUUCAUGCCUAAGUAUGUAUUUUACCUGGGAAGAAUGCUGUGUGAAUCAGAAAAAAACAGAAAAAUGAUUUAAUGUUUUGUGCUAGUGUUUAAGAUUUUAAAAACAACCUUGAGGUCUUUAUUUCUUUGUUUACAAUUGAUUAGGGUUAGAAUUUUGAAAGCUUAAUGCCGACUAGAAGUGCUUUACAGUCAGUCACUGAGAAUUACGGGCUUGGCACGACUCACGUUUUUGUCCUUCAGUAUAUCCGUUAUUGUUAGAGGCUAAGUAGUCUGCACAUAGAUGACUGAUUUUUUUGGGAGUAUUUUACGUUUUUACAUGUUCAGAAAAAUACUUCGUUAAAGCAGCUGCUGGCUGAAUGGGGUGAUUAAAUAACUGUACUGCUUUUAUUGAAGUUGACACAUGCUGCCCAUUCCUUAAAAAUCAGUAUGUGAGCAGAAUAUUUCCAGGAUUUAUUGAAGCCAGACACCUAGAGAUAGCGGGGAGCUUUCCAUAGCAGUAAAGAUAACUUCAAGUUUUACACUGUUAUAACAAAUCUGUCUUUAAGAAGAGAUCUAUUAUUGUAAUACAUUGCUUGUGUUCUUCAUAUUUUGUACAUACGUAUGUUCUAUGUGUGCACACACACACCUACGCACAAAUGCUUAAGACUUGAGCACUUUUAUUUGACAGUGAUUGUAUAUUCUAUUUAGUCUUUAUUUGGAAAAAAAUAGUGUUGUAAUACUGAUCAAGAAUCCCAAUUUGCUUAGUGCCAAAAGAAAUCUGGGGUUUAAUUGAUUUUUUAUUUUUUUUUUUAACUGAGAUGCAGUCCUGCUUAGUUUGAAUUGCAGCUCUUAAUCUGUGAGUGUCUUGGAGUAGCAAGUAAGGAAUCUUACUAAAUGUAAACUGAGGCUUGCUUUCCUUUUAACUAGUAUGAUGAGUGCAAUGUUCCGCAUGUGUAAUGCUUUGCAAGUUGUGAAAAAGUCAACUUGUAAUUACAACACGUGGCGACCAAACAUGUUAUAAACAAAUGUCCUCAGAAAGUCUAUUGAACAGAUAUAAUUACCAAUAUUGUAAAUUUUAGUGAUAUGAUCUUUUUCUAUUCCUUUCCUUUCUUUUUCAAGUGCAUUGGAACAAUUUUUUGUCCGUUUGAGCAUGUUCAGUUAGUCUGCCUUUCCUGUUAACUGUUCACAUCUUUAAAGCAUCUUUGAUAUGUCUCUUUUAAAGUUAUAAUUAUUCAUUUCAGGCAGAGUUUACAAACAUGCAAGUUUCAAGAUCAGAACAUUUUGUAACUUCACCUUACUGUAUUUUGUUUACAUGGUCUAUGAUGUGGAGAACUCUGCCAAGUACACUCCGCUUCCAUGAGUUUUGAUGGGAACCUAGUGCUCCAAGAUGCACACAGCGGUAUCGGUGGCCGUGCUUGGUAUAGAUACAGGCACAAAGUGCUUUCCUGAAAGAGGGGGUCAGUCUUAGAAAAUAUCGGAGGGACAGGUUCUUCUUUUGAGUGACCCCAGAGCCUGACUGACACUGUCAGAAACAGCCCCACCUCAUUCAAACCCAAGUGGUGCCAAGUGCACAGAGGUUGAGCAGGUUCAUGGCCCUGCAGUGAGCAAUGGUGGCAGUGGUGCCCAGAGGCAGGCAGAGGAUGAGCGGGGUGCUGCAGGAACCAGGCAAGGUACCAGAAAUCUGCUGUUUCUUCUUUUGUGAAUGCUUCCAGAUUACAGUGCUGCCAUUUCCAUUACCCUGCUAAAAGAGAAAGCCUCAUUGCAGUAGCACAGUGGGUGGAGAUGCCUUUUCUGGAAUCUUUUUAAAUAGCAAUAAUUAAGUCACAAGCAACUGUGACUUGGAAAGCCUGUGGUACCAGUGUACGGUAGUAAGAGGUUUUUGCUUCCUGAAAUCCUCUGACAGUGUUAAAGUCUUAGUAGUGCGCUCUGGACUGGCUGCUUAUCUAUCAUGGAUAUUUUGUAUGAUUUCAGAGUAGAACGUUGCCCUUACUGUUGAAUUAUUUGGCUAAAGCCAUCAAACUUUCACCGGCAUAUUUUGGGAUGUUUAAACCUCAAACACUUUUCAUGCAACGUCUGACUUACUAUUAUUGCACACUAUAAAAUAAAAUGCACUAUCAAAAUACAUGCUGAAAACUUUAUUCAUCAGCUACUAAUAAAAAUGUGGAAAAAGUAUUUUCAAGAUUUGGGGUUUUUUUUCCAAUUCAUCCCCAUUGAUUUUGCAUUAUUUUUAAUGUGGGACAUGGAAAAAAAGAGGUUAGUUCCCCUUGCCAGAAUACAUAAGGUGCUGUUGUGUAUCGGUGUUCUAAACUUCUAGGACUGUAUAAACAGAAAAUUUACUUUUUAAUUUUAUUGUCAUGCUGGGUAUGCAGCAGAAGUUAGUUUUUUGCCUGGACGUCUGUGUGAGCAGGCUAGGUAUUUUUAACUGUCCAUGUAUUCCAACAAACUCAUUUUAGGGGCAGAUCUUUUCAUGCUGCGUUCUGCAAGUUGAAGACAAAAAAUUGGUUUCUAAACUACUUGCAUGUUUUAAUAUUGUGAGUCAAUUCCCAUGUGUUAAAGUGUAAACUACUAACUAAUCCAUAGGAGUUUAUGCAGGAGAAAGUCAUUUAAUUAACACUUUUAAUUUCAGCUGGGAAAGAAGGUGAAACUGAGGUCUGAAGAAUGGAGGAGGCUUUGUUUUUCAUCGCCGAAGACUCACCCCACUGUAAGUCUGCUGAUGUACAGGGACCAUCUCCUGCUAAUUAGGCCUCUCCGAUGCGCUCUCUAGAAACGCGCUGGAGAAGUUUUUUCAAAAAACCACCACGCCGUCAUAAAUAAGGAAACGGUAUCGUAUGUAACUAUUACAUGUCGCUCGUUUGGCAGACUAUAAUUUAAUAGAACAACAACGAUCAGACUAGUAUAUCAGUUAAUUUUCAAAACAUUUUAUUCCACACAAAUUAUCUCAGGUCCUGGAGGGCAAAAUGACAAGAGGUUACUCGUACACUAUGUAUUUAAUUAAUUGAAAAAUGCUCAAAUUGCUUUUACAGUUGUUAUUAAAAAGUAGAAUCAGUGUUGCCAGUGCUCAACCAUAAUUAGAACCCCAGGGAAUUAAAUAUUUAGCAUUAGUAAUGUAACAGCACUUAGGACACAAAUUUCUAUUUUUGUAAUGAAAGCAAUACAGUGUAAGUGCAAAUGGCUGAAACGACAGCUGUGACAAGCGAACCAGCCUGGGAUAUUUCAAUAAGACACCUCGUCGGACAGCAAGCUUACCACAUUACUCGUUUGUAAGAGAUCUGCAAGUUUAAAUCCCAAUAGCCGGGCAUUACACCCGGUAUUUAGAUUUCUAAUUGCUCACAGGUUGAAUGGUCGGGCAAAUGUCACGCUGUCAAGUGGGGGAAGCGUGCGGUGUUUUCCCAAAUAACGCCGCAGAGGUGCGUGCCUUUGUCCGCAUGGGCAGGGGCUGGGGGGCAGGUCCCAGGGUUGCAGAGGGAGGAAAAGAGAUCUUGUUUGUUUUAAGUUUAAUUACAUUUUAAGCAUAAGUGCUUUCAGUGAUACAACAUGAAAAGUUGGAUAUUGGGCUCUAAUGAGCUGUAGUGGUAGAUGGCUGGAGACCCUGAGGGAUUCAUUCACUAAAUUAACGGGAUAAAAGUACUUGGUUUGGGCAUGGUAGGAUGGCUGAGCUCUGCUCAAAAACUCCCUUUCAGAACUGUCUCUCAUUCCUGUUUUCGUUCUAAACAGGCCGUGUAGUGACUUCCACAGCCGUCUGCUACAACUGUUCAGCUUGUCAGAAGGUAUUACAUUACCACCUAAUAAGUAAUAAAGCGUAUUUGACUUCA